UACAGAGGGGGCAAGCGUUGUUCGGAAUUACUGGGCGUAAAGGGCGCGUAGGCGGCCUGCUAAGUCGAACGUGAAAUCCCUGGGCUCAACCCAGGAACUGCGUCCGAUACUGGUUGGCUUGAAUCCGGGAGAGGGACGUGGAAUUCCUGGUGUAGCGGUGGAAUGCGCAGAUAUCAGGAGGAACACCGGUGGCGAAGGCGGGUCUCUGGGCAGUAACUGACGCUGAGGAGCGAAAGCGUGGGGAGCGAACAGG
rnacentral:rRNA from 1 species